rnacentral:rRNA from 1 species
GAUGAACGCUGGCGGCGUGCCUAAUACAUGCAAGUCGAGCGAAUGGAUUAAGAGCUUGCUCUUAUGAAGUUAGCGGCGGACGGGUGAGUAACACGUGGGUAACCUGCCCAUAAGACUGGGAUAACUCCGGGAAACCGGGGCUAAUACCGGAUAACAUUUUGAACCGCAUGGUUCGAAAUUGAAAGGCGGCUUCGGCUGUCACUUAUGGAUGGACCCGCGUCGCAUUAGCUAGUUGGUGAGGUAACGGCUCACCAAGGCAACGAUGUGUAGCCGGCCUGAGAGGGUGAUCGGCCAUACUGGGACUGAGACACGGCCCAGACUCCUACGGGAGGCAGCAGUAGGGAAUCUUCCGCAAUGGACGAAAGUCUGACGGAGCAACGCCGCGUGAGUGAUGAAGGCUUUCGGGUCGUAAAACUCUGUUGUUAGGGAAGAACAAGUGCUAGUUGAAUAAGCUGGCACCUUGACGGUACCUAACCAGAAAGCCACGGCUAACUACGUGCCAGCCACCGCGGUAA